UCCCUCUGUCUCCCACACUUCAGAUAUUUGUAAAUAUUAAAAAGAUCCCCUCUCAGUCUUCUUUUCUCAAGGCUGAACAGACCCAGGUCUCUCAGUCUUUCCUCAUAGGGAAAAUGUUAAUCAUCCUUACCAUUUACAGGCUUGGCAUAACUGUAAUACUCAUACAGACCAGUUUUAUCACACCAUGGCAGUAUUUUCCAAACUUCUGCAAGCUGGGCUUCCUUUCAUGAAAAUGAAACAGUGAGGCCCGAGUAGCUUCCACGCAUACCAUCAAAGAUGUGCUUAUGAAGAUUGUUGCUGAUUCUGUCAUUUUCAUAUUUGGUGUUUUUCUUGGAAAAUAUCAGCUGAAAUUCUCUCAAAAAAAAUCACAAGCGGAAAGAGAUACUAAGAACAGUGAUGUGAAUGUAUCAAAAGUAGCAAAAAGAAAUCAGAAACCAUUUUUUUUUUAUAGUUUGAUUUUCUGAUUUCUCUUAAUUUGAAAGUCAAUCUCAUUAAUUACAACCUAAAACUCAAUGGUUUACUUUUUCAUACAAGGACUGUAAUAGGUUUUUAAGUAUGUCCAUUCCUUUUCUUGCUGAUUCCACAAGGCAGAUGACAGCAGAGAUAACUAGUGCCACCGUGGUCAAGCCUGGGGCACAUCUUGUGGAUCAGGAGCAUGGAGCCAACAGCUCAUUAAACUACAGAGGAAUAGUCGCUGCCUGCAGCCCUUUCACUCUGCUUUGGCAACCUUUGUUUCAGCAUCACUACUUAAGAAGAGCUGAAGAGAUGUGAUGAGGACUGAUGAGCAGUGUUCCCCUGUGUGGCACACCUGUGAUCCUGGCCAGACCACCCGGAUAUGCAGGCUGUGGUGGUGCCUGUGAGUAUGUGGGUGCGAGAGGGCCCUGACCUUGCACAGCUUCAGAACCUGGUAGGCUCCCAGCAGUUUUGGCCAAUAAACAGCCCUGACAAAGACCAGCUACGAUGCAAAUAGUUUUCUGCAAGAGCUGAUGACUCCCCCAUUGACUGUCUGUGCUGGCAUCAGAUAAAGCUGCCCUUCUUAUUCUUCUGAUGUUGCCUGGCCUACCUCAUCCUAUUAACAGAUCAUCACUGGGAUCUUCAUCUCUCUUGAGAUUUUUUUAAAUCUCUGUGGAUGUUUAGAACUUGAUCUUGCUUGUAAUCCCUGAUGAGCUUGCACUGUGUGUAGGGAUCCUGUCACCAUCAUGACAGCAAGGGAGGCUAAUACACACUUAAUUGCUUUCAUGAAGAAAUAAGCUGUCCAUUUGGAAAGAUAAUGUCUCAUCUCUUUAAAAUCUGUGUGCGUGGCUAUCAGGAGUGCAGACAGGUGCAGCUGCACCGAGGUCCUUGGGCUGGGCUACACACCCAAUGCACAGUAACACAGUGAAAGGGCACAAAUGCUGGUUUUGUCAAGGUCAGGAAAACACUGCUAACUGUGUUGCAGACAAAAAUCCCAACGCAAAAUGACAUAUUCUUCAAGAUGUUGAUGCUGGUGUGGAACUUGCUAGUGCAUAUAACUACUGACACUAACCACAUCUGGGCAAACAGCACAGGCGUGUCUGACAAUGCUUGUGGUUCACAGAAAAAGAUUAGUUCACAGCUGCGUUUGCAUAUUGUAGCACCAUGAACAAGGCUGAUGAUACCUUGCCACAACCUGAGUUUCUUCCAGUGCUCAAAAUGUAUUAGCUGAUCAGCUGUGAGAAGAAAAUUUUCUGCCGUCUUGGCCUUUAUCUCAUACAAUUGUGUCAUCCACCUUCAGUUUCUACUUAACACCUGCUGACAGUAUACUGUUUAUGUGAACUUUACAUUUGCUGGGUGCCAUUCCUCUCUUGGAAAACAAACCCAACCUUUUCUAUAAAUCAAUAUGCCUCCCAGCAGAGGCAUAUUGGAUCUCCUGAAGUGAAGUCUGUAAAGAAGCAUUUUUGUCCAAGAAACUUUUAAAACCCACAGUUAAAGUUUGAGUUCAUCCCAUCUUCCUGUAAAAGAUGGGGAAUAACAAAGAAUGAGGAGUCAGACUCUGACAUGUUUAGAAUGAGGAGAGACUGCAGAAAGAGGAGUGCAAAACAUCCGUCAGAAGAAAGAGAGAUGCACAUCCAGCUGCGGUGACGCACCGAGUCCUUUUCAGGGGAGCUCACCCUUUUGAGAUGACAGCUGAUACCACUAUUCUCAAGACAUGGCAUACAACAAACCAAUCUUUUGUCAUUAAGUGGAAGGCUUGACUGGAUUCCCUCCCUCCCCCAUUUCAGCAGACAUUCUCAUUUCUCUGUCCUCAGCCACAUACAAUGCCUUAUCCAUAUUCCAGUGAAGCUUUUUGACACUGAACCAGCAGAAGUGCAAAAGCUAGAGAAAGAGGUACAGGAAUUCAGAGACUCAUAAGUCCCUUUCUCAAGAUACUAGGUGCUUCAUUCCUACAGAGGAGUGCAACUACCAGCACAGUCAAUGCAAUUUAGACACAGAGGACUAUGCCAUUAAAACUACAUAUUUCUAGUUUGUUUUGGACUAGCAGACUUCUGUCAUCACACAAAACUUCUCUUGGACCACAGCGCAUACUUUACAUCAAACUUUUACUAAAUGUCAUCUAAAUAAUAUUGUUUAAUCUGACAGCUUUACUGUCAUUUAUGCCUUUCUUCAAAUCAGUUACAAAUAUAACCAAAUCAUGCCUAAAGACUUUGAAGGCACCACUGUCAGCUUUGUAUCAUGAUGAAAAUUUACCAUUUGUUUCUGUGCUUGGUUGUCUCCAAACCAGUUGAUGUAAGGCCGUACUUUAGUUACACUGUACCUGUGACAAUUCUUGGUCCCAAGCCAUCACUUGUGAGGGAUUUUUUUUUUUUUUUAAAUCAAAAUAAGAUGUAUCAGGAAGUUUUAAUUACAUGCUCAAAGAAUUCUAUCACAUGAAUGAAACUCAGGAAAUUUUUUGCCAUGCCUGAACUCAAAAGCACUUAUUUUAGCUGAGGCAUAAGGGAUAAACCAAGUCAGUGCUUUUAGUCCAUGUAACUUUUUUAGAUAUUAAGUUCUGCAGUAGUUGCAGAAGAUUAAAGAUAUGUUAGAUCUAAUUUUUCAAACACCCCCCUUUUUCCAAAACAACUUCUUUAAUGUUUGUGUUUUCAAAAGCAAUGAGAAUGUCUUUCAGAGAAGACAGGACAUAGAUCUUAGCUAGAAAUAGCCAGGCUCUUCAGUGUCUCCCAUUGAGUCUCAGUCCUUGCCCCAAAACACCUAGUCCCCAAGACUGCCCUGCACUUGCUCAGGCACAGCUGGUGGAGGGGAGCACCUCAGAAAAUCUGCAAGACCUGUUUCACUGCUGCAAACUGCUUUGGAGGCUUGCAAGCUGGAUGGGGAAUGUCCACUAAGCAUGCAGACUCCUGACACAGCUUUCAGCUAUAAAAUUAGGUUAAAGUAACUCCCUAUAUUCAUUUAGACAGACAACAGUCUACAGGAUAAAUUCUAGGAUUUGUUUUAUUAUCAGCUGACAGGCAAGCUAAGCAGUGUGACUAACAUCAUGUGUGAUUUAAAACCUCCCUAGAAAACUUUGGAUAAAAAUUUGAUUUGAAGUGAUUAAAACACUGACUUUUAAUUUUGACUUCUGAAUAUGAAUCUUGAGUUAAAAAAUAAAAAAGGAUUCUUCUUAGAAUCCUCUAAGACUCAGCUUAAUGAGUUAAGCCUACUGACUGUUCUAAGCAAAUGUUAUAAUGAUUCUGAAAUGCUCUUUCAGAUGAAAGCUGUUCAAGUAAACCACUGCUCCUUCUCUAAAUAAAUCUGAGAGAGACAGUUCUUUCCAGGAAUCUCUUCAGGGCUUGCAUUGCUACUGAUAAUUUUGCCAAGUAGUUGAAAAUAUAUAUUUUUUAUCUAUCUUGAGCUCUAAGAGAAAACAGCUAGAAGAUAAACCAUAGGAAAAGAAAACUAUAAUUCAUCCUGAACAUAAAUUUCAUGCACAAUAUUGAAUUCAUCUUACCUGUAAAGGUCUGUAAUCUGCCCUUCAUUCCAGCGAUAAUGAAGAUCAUUAAGAAGACGUUCAUGCUGUCCAUACAAGCAAAUAUAGUUGGACACAGGAAAGGGUGUCUUUGAAAAGCAGGUGAUGCUAUCUACCAUACUGUAUUUGUUGAUAUGCAUUCUAAAAUAAUUCCCAUGUCUUGCCUUUCCAGUUAUAAUUUCUAUACCCUGUAACACAAAAUAAAAGGCAAACUGUGCAUAUGGUAAGAACACCUGACCUGGCAUACAUACAGGAUCUGCUAGGGUUUCCUAUUUGAUAUUUACCAUUUCUUAAAAUCCAGAAACAUUUUUAACCAAGAAUAUCCAUUCCUGGUACCACAGUUUAUACAAGAUGCCAUCAUCUGGGCACAAAGAUUUGCUCUGUGAUUUGGACCUUGGUUAACUGCACAGAAACUGUGAAGCAUAUGACUGUGAGCACGGCAUAGGCUUCGGUUGCCCAAGCCCAAGUGACACGUGAGUCACCUAAGGGCAUCUGGGACAUCCAAACUGGGCUGGCAGUUAUGACAAAGGAACCAUGGGAGACCUGUGACCUUAUGGAGCAGCAGCUGGAGGUCGGAGGGGAUGACCUGGGGCAUCUCAAACACAAGAUCGCUCUGUUUAGGCAAAAUUGAACCCUGUUCAUCCUUGUAUUCUAUACAGUGUCCAUACUAUUGCAUACACAUGGCAUAACUUACUAUAAGAUAUCUUGAUGAACAAAGAACACACUAGUAUACCUACACUCUCCAGGUUUGUAAGUAUAUAUACAUACAUAUUUAUUUAUAUGGAUAUACAAGCAGUAUAUGCACAGUCCGUAUUUAUGGUGCAUUGUAGAAGCUAUAUGACAAUAGGCAGAGAGUUGAUAUUAACACAUUAAUCAGUUACAAACAGGCUUCAGUGUUACAACCCACAGAUUUAUCACGUCAAUCAUUCUGUAGUAGUCCGAGGUAUGAUGUGUACGAACAGCCUUCCAACAACAAAAUUACCACCAAGAAGGACCCUGUCUUCAAAUUUUAUAAAUGGCUAUGCACUCGAUGGUUGUCUGCAACUGCAGGAGGCUGGGCUUGAUCUCUUUGGAUGUUACCUUGAAUUACAAUUACUUUAAAAUAUAUGCAUAUACAUACAUGACAUAAAUAUAUAUAUGCAUAUAUAUACACACACGCGCGCAAAUAUAUACAUAUGAUUUAGAAUUGUUCUCAGUGACACCCUCUUGCUAGUAUAAACAGGGCUGUCGACUAUUGCUUACAUUAUCACUAUCAAUAAAAAAAUAAUAGUGUUGGAUGUUGAUGCUCAAACUGCAGCAUUUAGUUUCAGCUAGUUAAAUUAAUUACUUAAUACAAGACAAAAAUGUAAAAAUGUGUUUCAGACCUCACAGUGGGAUGAUCAAAUAGCUUGAAGCUAUUUUUUAAAGCUGUAUUCAUGUUCCCAUUUUAUAUAUCAUUAAAACCUGUUGCUAGGCUACAGUCACCUUUGUAACUUCCACAUCCCUCAGUUAACACAUUUCACUAGCGGCUCGUACUACUUUCCUAGGAAAUUCUUUUCGGAUUUUCCUUAAGUUUGUGGAGUGGCUUUAAAGAUGUUAUCUUUUCAGACAAUGGGGAGUCAAAGUUGCAGCAAAAGAAUUCUUAUCAUGUUCUAGCAAUUUGGAGUGACAAAAUCAAAUUUUCUCUCUCUGAUAGUCCUUUUUGCCUCUCAGUAUGUGCUGCUUUGGACAGCUCAUCCUGGAUCUGAAAAGCUGGAAAACAAGGAACUUCAAAAGCAACAUAUUCCAUGUGACUGAGAAAAUGACUUGUGUCUCUCUAGAGAAUUAAGCAAAAAGAAGGCCAUCCUGAAAAAGAGAGCACUGAGGAAAAGCAAACAUGUUAUCUUCCCAACAGAGGAAAAAAAAAACACAAGGAAAAGUUAAAUAACAUAACUUACAUGGUCAGACAGUGCAAGCUCUACAUCCAAGUGGCUGGGGAUUUCUGGUUUGGAAAUAUGCAAGUAAUUACAACCUCUGGGAAGAACACCUCCUGCCAUAAAUGAAAAUAUGAGAUUUAUUCACUCAUACACAGAAAAGAAAAUAAAGUGUCUGUUUACCCUCCUUUUCCCAGAAUGAGUGUCUGUUUACCCUCCUUUUCCCAGAAUGUUUAUUAUUUUUUUAACUAAGAGUCUAAAGAGGAAAAUUUAUUUUGUUGUUGUGGCUUCAUGUUCUUUGGUACUGUUAUAUGUAUUGGUACAGCAGCCACAUCUUGAAAAGUUCUGAUCGUGACUGUAAUAUAAAUAAAAACACAACUUGGUCCAUUACUAGCAA